ACGUGACACAGAAUCUGACUCGUCGACCACACCACGGCGUACGAUAGUAAUGGCAGUUCUGAGUGUUGCAGAGGAGAGAGAAAGCGAUUCAGAGAAAAACGAAGGAGAUGACGACGAUAAAGAGAUCAUCCUCCAACAACUGGUUGUUGUUCUUCUUCUUCAAUCUCCGCAUCUGCUCCUACUCCUCGCUUCCAGAUUCCCUCACUCUCUCUCCAAUAUGAUCAUCAGCUAGGGCUUUUUUCUCUCUAUCAAUCGCUUCUCCUGCGAUUUUUUUUUUUGGGGAAUUAGGGUUCGUGAUUUGCUCUUUUGACUGUUAGGAGUGUUGUGAUAGCUGUAAUCGAUGAGGAAAGGAUUGUUUGAAGUUUCUGGAAAUGGCGGUCCUGGAGGAGUUCGAUCUUGAUGGAAUUUGGUUUUUCUGAGUUGUGGUUGGGAGCUGGGGUCCGUGGCUUGUGUUGAGUGUCUGAAGGACUGUAGUGGAUCGGUGAGGAGGAGAGAGGUUUGUGAGAAAUGGAUUCUGCGGAGGUCGGCUCCUGUUCCGGUGGUUCUGGUUUUGCGGCGGGGUUUGGGGGUCGAUCUUGAGGGAAUUUGGCUGGAUUUGUCGGUGGAGAGUUGAGAUUCUGGAGUAGUUGGAGGAAUUUGGUCCUGAUAUCUCUCCUUUGGUUCUCGAAUUCUUUCUUCUGUUUAGAAUUUAUAAAUAUUUCUUUAGAUAAUGGAUUUUGUUGACUCUGAAGAUGCUCUCUACAAGGAGCUCUGGCAUGCUUGUGCUGGGCCUCUUGUGACGGUGCCUCGCGUAGGGGAGCGAGUUUUCUACUUUCCUCAGGGUCAUCUGGAGCAGGUGGAGGCGUCAACUAAUCAGGUGGCUGACCAACAGAUGCCGGCUUAUGAUCUUAGAGCGAAAAUCCUUUGCCGUGUGAUUAAUGUUCAUUUGAAGGCUGAACCGGAGACCGACGAAGUGUUUGCUCAAGUGACUUUGCUUCCCGAACCUAAGCAAGAUGAAAACUCCGCGGAGAAAGAGGAUGUGCUUACUCCCACUCCUCGACCUCGUGUACACUCCUUCUGUAAGACCCUUACUGCCUCAGAUACAAGCACUCAUGGUGGCUUCUCAGUGUUGAGGAGGCAUGCUGAUGAGUGCCUACCUCCACUGGACAUGUCCAAGCAACCUCCAACCCAGGAGUUGGUAGCCAAGGAUUUGCAUGGAAAUGAGUGGCGAUUCCGCCACAUUUUUCGAGGUCAACCAAGGAGGCACCUUCUUCAAAGUGGUUGGAGUCUUUUUGUCAGUUCCAAAAAGCUUGUUGCAGGGGAUGCUUUUAUUUUCCUCAGAGGUGAAAAUGGGGAACUUCGUGUAGGGGUAAGGCGUGCUAUGAGGCAACUAAGCAAUGGCCCAUCUUCAGUCAUAUCUAGUCACAGUAUGCAUCUUGGUGUUCUUGCUACAGCUUGGCAUGCAGUCUCUACGGGUACAAUAUUCACCGUCUAUUACAAACCAAGGACUAGUCCUGCUGAGUUUAUUAUUCCAUUUGAUCAAUACAUGGAGGCUGUCAAGAAUCACUAUUCUAUUGGAAUGAGAUUCAAAAUGAAGUUUGAAGGUGAAGAAGCUCCAGAACAGAGGUUCACUGGUACUGUUAUUGGAACUGAAGAUGCAGAUCCCAUGAGGUGGCCUGGAUCAAAAUGGAGAUGCCUCAAGGUUCGGUGGGAUGAAACCUCUUCUGUUCCUCGUCCGGAGUGUGUUUCCCCCUGGAACAUAGAAGUUGCUUUGACACCUCCUGCUCUGAAUCCACUUCCAGUUUCACGAUCAAAGAGGCCCCGUGCAAACAUGAUGUCAUCAUCUACUGAAUCCUCUGUUCUUACAAGGGAAGGUUUGUCUAAAGUCACCAUAGACCAUUCGCCAGGAAGUGGGUUUUCAAGAGCCUUGCAAGGUCAAGAAAUCUCAACCUUGAGGGGCAUUUUCAUGGAGAAUAACAAUGAUUUGGUCACUACUCAAAAAUCCAUUGUACAGCCACGAUCACAAGUUGUUGACCAGAUGGACUCAGCUUCUACUAAGAGAAGUUUUAUGUCAGAGGACUGGGUUCCUCAGCUGAGACAGGGGGUGCAGUGUGCAAAUCUAAUUUCAGGUCCUCAGUCCAUGAUGCACUCAAGUACCGUGUUAAACAUGGAGUCUAAUGUGAAACUUUCUGAAGGAGCCAAAGGGAAACCAUAUCUGACUCCUGCAAAUGUCAGAUACAGUGGCUUUGGUGGGUAUGGUGGAUUACACGACCUUGGAGCUGAGCAGUGUCCUGGAAACUGGUUGUUGCCCCUGCUUCCACAUUCAUAUUCUGAAACUUCACCUCAUCUCAUGGGGUUAAAGCCACAGCCUCUGUAUGUACAAGAAGAGGUGGUGAAAUACAAAGGAGAUGGAAACUGCAAACUCUUUGGCAUCUCCCUCAUCAGCAAACCUGCUGCAAAUCCCAUGCAUAGACCACAAGGGGAUAUCCAACUUACAAUGGAAAACCCAGCCCGACAUCCAGAGCAAUCAAAGAGUUCAAAGUACAUGGAGAUAGGAGGUUUCGAGCAUGAGAAACCUUUCCAAGCUUUGGAACAGCAGCUUUCAAGAGAUGAUCAAAGCAAACUUCAUUCUGGUUCAACUAGGAGUUGCAUCAAGGUUCACAAGCAGGGAAUUGCCGUAGGGAGAUCCGUGGACCUCACCAAGUUUAAUGGUUACACUGAACUGAUAUCUGAAUUGGAUCAGAUUUUUGAAUUCAAUGGUGAAUUAAUAUCUCUCAACAAAGAUUGGUUGAUUGUUUUUACUGAUGACGAGGGUGACAUGAUGCUUGUUGGAGAUGAUCCCUGGCCGGAGUUUUGCAGCAUGGUGCGCAAAAUCUUUGUCUACACCCGAGAGGAGAUUCAGAGGAUGGACCCAAGACCCCUGAAUCCUAAGGUAAGGGAAAACCCAACGGUUCUGGAGAAGAAGGGUGGUGCAAAAGAAGCUACUGAGUUGGAGACAUCCCUCAGCAGUGAGUCUCUGGGGCAGGGCAAGUCUGCCUGAAUUGACCGUGGAGCAUUUAUUUGUUACAUCUGGUGAGUUUGAGAGCCAAACAGCAACUUUGGGAUAUUGUGUCCUUGUUGUGAAGGCAGUUUGAGGCAGUUGUAAAGCCCCUUCGCCAUGGCAUUUUAAUCCGGGUUUACUACAGGUCACUAGUUUGCAGUUUCUUUGUUUUUUGGUUUAAAAAAAAUAUAAUUUCUAUCUUUUUUAUAUUUUUGGUUCUUUUCCAACCCCCAAACCCCACCUGGUUGUUAAGAAGCUUGAAGUCUGGUGUUUUAUAUGUUAUAUUAUGCUUUCAUUGUCUUUCAUGAAUUUCAUACAUAAUAUACUUUUACAUUCUUUGGGUAAAUUAGGGGCAGCCUUAGGUUUCUGAGACUCUUUUUGUACAGCUCUUUUCUCCUUGAUUUCUCUCUCAUUUCCAACUAGAGUGUAGGCUGUGGAUAUAUAUAUAUAUAUAUAUACUUAUAUAUGAGCA